AACGAACGCUGGCGGCAGGCUUAACACAUGCAAGUCGAACGCAUCCUUCGGGGUGAGUGGCAGACGGGUGAGUAACGCGUGGGAACGUGCCCUUCAGUUCGGGAUAACCCAGGGAAACUUGGGCUAAUACCGGAUACGUGCGAGAGCAGAAAGAUUUAUCGCUGAAGGAUCGGCCCGCGUCUGAUUAGCUAGUUGGUGGGGUAAUGGCCCACCAAGGCGACGAUCAGUAGCUGGUCUGAGAGGAUGAGCAGCCACAUUGGGACUGAGACACGGCCCAAACUCCGACGGGAGGCAGCAGUGGGGAAUAUUGGACAAUGGGCGCAAGCCUGAUCCAGCCAUGCCGCGUGAGUGAUGAAGGCCUUAGGGUUGUAAAGCUCUUUCGUCCGGGACGAUAAUGACGGUACCGGAAGAAGAAGCCCCGGCUAACUUCGUGCCAGCCGCCGCAGUAAGAC
rnacentral:rRNA from 1 species